ACAUGAUAUAUAUAUAACAUGAUGAGCAGACUGUAUUGUGUGUGUGUAUAUAUAUAUAUAUAUAUAUACACAAUACAGUCUGCACAUCAUGUUAUAAACAGU